rnacentral:rRNA from 1 species
UGAUUUCUUCGGAAUGAAACCUGAUAUGACUUAGUGGCGGACGGGUGAGUAACACGUGAGCAACCUGCCUUUCAGAGGGGGAUAACGGCUGGAAACGGCCGCUAAUACCGCAUAAGCGCACGAGGAGACAUCUUCUUGUGUGAAAAACUCCGGUGGUACAGGAUGGGCCCGCGUCUGAUUAGCUGGUUGGCAGGGUAACGGCCUACCAAGGCAACGAUCAGUAGCCGGUCUGAGAGGAUGAACGGCCACAUUGGAACUGAGACACGGUCCAAACUCC